ensembl:lncRNA
AUAAAGCAUAGUAGAUAAAGAUAGGUGGGAAGAAACCUGAAGGAAAAUGAAAAAAUGAUAACAUUUGGAAGUCUCAAGGGAAGAAUAGAGAACAAUAAAACAACGUACUUCAAGAAACUCAGUGCAGGUCUGAAUCACUUCAGAGUGUGAGAGCUGAGCAAUAAAUAAUGUGGGCAACAGAAUUUUUAUGCUUGGUGUUCUUCUUUCUCUUUUUAAGUUUAAGUUGACUUAUUCCUGUUGAAAUGUACUCUACAUGACUUGGAGCAGGCUGAGGCAACUGCAGAUUCUAAACAGUAAUCUUUUAUAAUUCAUGCAAGACAAGUAAGACACCAGAAGAUCAGGAAGAGUAUGUCUUUCAACAGGAUAAAGGAACUGUAAGAGGUCAUUCUUUUACGCCGUUGCCUCAAAGCUUGCUGAGGGACACAGAUGAACAAGGUCAAGCAAGUCCUGACCAAGGAUUAAGAAAACCUUCGUCCUGAAGGGACAACAGAUGGACAACGCCUGGGGCAACGAGAGAGGGUAAGUGGCAGCUAAAUGGCCAGGAAACAGUCUUUUGUGUGGACUUAUCUCAAGGGAGACAGCCAUCUCAGGGGGGGCUCACAUGACCAAGCGCCCAGAAAUGUCACGUAGGCAGGGAAGGAGGAGGAUAAAAGAGGGUCCAACAACCAUGAAGUCAGGAUUCUGAUAACAGAUUCCACACGACCUGCCUCUCCCUCCCGGACUUCGCUCUGUGCUCUACCUGCUUGCUGCCUAAGGAUGGCCUCUCUGCUGCUGCUCACCCCUCCGAGAAGGUGUCUGCCAUCAGAUCCCUCACUACAAAAGGCCUGCAUGCUGACUGACUCUCCAGGGCCUGCUACCGGAGACCUGCUGCUUCCGCCCAGACUUCUUCCUGGACCUACUCGGUACCUGCCUGCACCUUCUCGCUGCCUAAGACCGGCCACACCGCUGCUGCUCUUCCCCUGCGCUUUUGCCCCGGACCAUCGGAACGUCGUGCAACGGGACUACUGCCGGAUCCUGGUGUUACAGAUCCUGGAUCGCUUUAAAAUGGAAAAGCCUCAAGCAGCGUUCAGCAACGUUCUCUCUCUUUUAUUAUUUACUGGAAUGGUCACUGUGAGAUCACUGCCUUUGAAGAAGAGUUAGAGAAAAUCCUGCUUUAAAACCAAAGGAAAUCCAGAUUAAACAGGAGAAUGUGGAGGAAGCACAAUGACAGCACAUGAAAUGUAAGAGAAGAGUGCUGAAGACCCUGCAAUCACUCUGGAAGAGACUUCCGUAUCUGCUUCUGCAGACUGUCUGGGACCGUUAAAUGACCAAAUAUUUAUCUGUGGUUGAAAAAAUGACAUAUUUCUUCUUGUUUGCUAUCUGGCCAUGUUGUUUGUACAAGCACCCUCAGAAGUGUGCAGAAGUAUACAUACAGCUGCAAGGAUAUCACUGAAAGGUAAACAGACAUUUGAAGAACUUACAAUCAAAUGCUUAACCUGGUGUAACAGUGACGCCAUCGUCUUCAUGCAUGUUAACAAAUCUCAAAUCAAGAGAUUUGAUUUUGAUUGUUUUGCUCAUGAUUGCAGCUGGAAAGAAGCACUAGUGUCUGCAAGAUAAAGAGAGCAAUCAAGUUCCACUUCUAGGUCCUAGGAUGAAAAAAAAAAAAGGCUCCUUCAAAGGAGGAAGCCUAUAACUGAUAUACCACUCUGUCUCCUGAGCAUGACAGUGAAAAAGAAAGGAUUUCAUUGCACCAAGAAGAGGACAACUCCUUCUGAAACUGUUAUCCUCAGAUGGGAACUACUGUGCAAAAAUUCAUCACAUUAUUUGAAAACGACUUGCACAAGUGUAUGCCCUGAAGCAAAACAUGAAUAUAUGUAUGCUACACAUAAUUGGCAUGGUAAUAUUAUCCACUGAAAUAUCUAGGUCUCUACAUCAAGCUAAACAUCACAGAGCUAUAAUAAACAAGUAAAUAAAGAAGUGGUGAUUAGCAAACUGGAUUUAUGUUCUUAAGUACCUGAUGUGCUGUAAGUCAGUUCAUACUCACAUCCUAAAGCAGUUUGUGAAAUGUAUAUCUAUUUAAAUGACAUUUACAAAACCUGUUUAUGCUUUCAACAUGAUAAAUUCAUCUUCAAUUACUUGGAAAAAUAGGGCGAGUAUUUAUAACCUGUUGUUCUUUUUUCAUAAAAGAAAAACCCAUGCCCAGGCAUUCCUAGUAUUUCUUACUUACAGUAUGACAUCCACAGUGUUCAUCAGAGUACAGUGCAGUGCUGUGCACCUGUAGGAACUGUUGCUUAAUUUCACAGCUUAGGUGCCCAAAUUAAAUUGCACUGAUUACCUCUUCGACUCCUAUAUUAAAAAUUACCUUUGGUGGCUUUAAUAUAGAUACUCAGGAAGGUUUAAAUUUUAAAUGGAUGACCAUGGGUUAAGCUUUAUUCCCUGUCUUAUUAGGAAUUAUACUAAAAAAGCUCUAACAGACUCCCCGUGUAUUUGCAAAAAUCUUUCUGGUGACACCUUAUGACAUCUUGUCAAAAUCCUCACUUUAUUCUUGCUAGUUUUACAUUAAGUUGCUGCCUGCUGGAAAUAAGUUUUAUCACAGCAGGAGCCUAAACCAACAUUUAUUUCAGAAAUCCCAAGAAAACAUUCAGAACUAUCACAGUUAUAGAAAUAUGUGCCCCACAUCUUCUGUGGGUGGAUAGAUACACGCCUGCAUCCGGAAGGCUGGAAACAGGUUUCAGCCCCUGACUGCGGAUGGCUCUGCUCAGAAAGCUCAACUACAACAGUCUUCAGCCAUCUGCUUGUUGCAAUCAGAUCCACUUCAAAGUGUCACAAUCUGACCUUUGUUAUGGCAACAAUAACUUGCAACGGAUGCUCAAGCCAGCUGGUCUGCAGAGAUCCUAGAUCGCCUCAGUGAGUUUAGAAUGACCUUUUGCAGUGCAGACACCAGAAGUCAAAGAGGUGAGCUAUCAUGUUAUCACAGAGAUCUCAGCAUGCUCUAAGGAGCUUUUUUUAGCCUAGGACUGAAAAAAGGGACUCCCUUUAGUGAAUCCUUGAGUCAGCUUUUUACUUCUGUGGUAGAGCCCAAAUGCAUUCUCCUUUCUCAGUUUAAACUUCACAUUUAAUAGAAAUUGUUUUUAUAACAAACAUUUAUGUAAAACCUCUUCAAUAAACUAGGUAGGGCUUCCUGUUAUUCUUUCACUGCUGCUUAGAUUUGUGGUGCUACUCUGAGGUGUUUGUAUUAUUGCUGUAAAGAAGAAGUAGUAAAACAAACUAUCCAAAAUAUUGUUUUGAGCCUCAUUGGCCACUGUUUUUCAUAUCUCUUGCCGUGAUAAGGAAUUCUCAGGUAAAAGAGCCAAACUUGUAUCCAUUUCCUCUUCCCUUCCAGAGAGUUUCUAAGAAUACAAAUGUACCCAAUUUCACAGGUAAUACACUACAUAUCUCUGGUUAUAUUCUGUUGUACUUAAGAGUUCUGACUUCUGUCUUUUUAUGGUCAUUUGUAGUCCACCAAGCCCAUUGUGAAAAUUUUACUGAAAACUUCUUGAAGUGGAUAUGCCUCUAAAUGCCUCCCAGUAUAAGAUAUUUUUUGUCCCUCAGUGACCUUCAAGAUCUGUUUUCACUAGUUUUCUCCAACAGGGAAAAAGACUUGGUGGUACAAACAUUCAUAUACAAGAGAUUUGUGGAAUUAUAUUUCAGUCAGAAAUUAAUCCAACCAUCACUUCUGAUUCUUGAAGAAAUCAGCAUCAGGUAACAGUUCAUAUUUCUACUGCAGUACUUUUCAGUUACAGAGAUCACCUUUGAAAGCAGUUUUGCCAACAGAACUAUCAAGAGCAACAAAUAUUGGGCCUGAAGAAUCCCAGAAGACACCUAUCUACUUCCCCAGAGAAUUGGAGAAUUCUGUUUCAUAAGCUGAGCUAGUGGGGUUUUGAUGAUUGAGUAAUCCUUCUUAACCUUGUAUCCUGCAGGGAAAGGGGCUUGGAAUAACAUCUAACAGCUUACAGAAACCAGAAGACAUACAGGCUGACAAAGCUCUUCAUUCAGAUAGUUCUCUUUUCUGAAAUUCUAUCUAGGCUUAAUGCUUUAUUGUUAGAAGAAUAGUAGUAGUAUUUUACGGUGCCUAAGCCACACGUACUCGUAUUGGUACUCUUUAAGGGGUACAGAAAUUCUUAAAAGAGGAAAAAACUCAAAACUAGUGAUUAAAAUGCACUACAAUCCAAGAGAAUAACAGUGAUGUGCUGUAAAGAUGAAUGGAGAAGUGAGCUAGGAUUAUGGUAUUACAGCCAGUAUUAUACUUUAUGGCUCAGAUUCAAAUUUAUAGCUCAUCCCAGAUAAAGUGAAUAACAUGCAGUCAACAUACAACAUUAAUUAGCUGUAUAUGGAAGUUGCAUGUGCUGUUCCCCCCCCACCUCCCCUUACUGUUCAUCUAACUCGCAUGUAUUUUUCUCUUUUUAGCAAAUACAGAAAAAGUUUCACUCAAGAGCACCUUUUGUUUAUUAGUGUUACACCUCAGAUUAUGGCAUGGUUUUACAGAUAUGUAAGAACAAGUUAUGAACUUCCUGCUUGAAUUCGGAGGCAGUUUGAGUUUUGAAGGCGAGACAAAUAUUGUUUCAUACCAUUUUCACCUGAUUCCUUAAAGUAUUAGGGAAAUUCUUCUUUGGAAAAUUUAUUACUGGUUGUACUAGGCACGGAGAGGUAUGAAAUUGCCUCCAACCAGUUUUAGUAUAACCCAUGAAAGAUAAUUGUCAUAAGCUAGUGUUAAGAAAAGAGUGGCUUACCUUGUUGAAAAGGCAAAGGCUUGCUGAAAACUCCCAGAAAGAAACAAGCUCUGAAUAUAGAUGUUUCCCCCUUGGCUACCAGCCCUUAAAUGGGGUUAGGGAGGUUGCACAGAUGAAUCUCUCGCACAUGUACUCCUAGGGCUUGCUAUGCCUCUUUACUAGACGCUCAAUUGCUCAAUUCCUGUUUCAGCCCAUGACCCAACAGUUCCCAUACACAGGAAAGUAGUGCUCCAGUACAAGAAAAGUACACAAGGGAAGAAAUUUGCCUUCAAAGAUUGCAUGUAGCCUUUUGAUCUUUCUGAAAGAGCAUAUUCACCCUUUAAACUGAAAAGACUUCAUGUUUUACUCUCAAAAAUUGAGUUUAUCAACAUGGUAAUCAUUAAAAUUACACUUAAAGUGUUGCUGGUAAAACUUGUACAUCAAAACCGCAUUCUUGCCUAAGUAAGAAUCUUCAAAGAAAGAUGCCUGUCUUUGAUUUUCAUUAAAAAGCUUAUAAGAAACAACUCCAGAAACUAAUAAUUUAUUUCUGAAAUUACUUUCAGUUAAGAGCAAUUUUCAGCUGAAAAUGAGCACUAGCCAUUGCAUUUUGCAGCUAAAAUGUUAGUAAAAAAUAUCUUGUAUACAUAAGAAAUAAUUUCAGACCAACUAUUCUUAAAAACAAAGAAAUACCUGCAAGCCAACUUUCCUUGCAAAUAAUUGUCUAGCCAUUUUAGAAAUUGCUCCAAAAGUAAUGCCUCCUAUUUAAUUACAAGAAAAUGACAACAGCUACGAAGAACAGUAUAACGCUAUUUGGUAAACUCUCAGUAACAAAACUUUUUUUUUCCACAUAGUCAUUACCAUUAGCUCCACAUCUUCAUCAGUGUGGAACAGAAGCCUAUAUAUUUUUUUCACAAGUACGGCAUGCAGUCGCUGUCAGUGGAAUUUGUGUUGCCACUGCUGAAGUGCACCACCUACAGCCUCAUUGUGCUCUCAUCUAGUACUUGGUCUCCAUAAACGUUCAGCAAGCAUCAGUGAAAGUCAUUUGGUACCAUUUUUCUGCAUGAGGGAAUUCAAUUCCACACCUUUGCUUCAUACAUGUUUCAAUGUCAGACACCAUAUUAUUAGACAUCCAGAGCAAACUUAAAACAGAGGCAUUAUUUUCCUGGAGAAGCUCUCAUAUAAUACUUAGUCUACUUUUUUUAAAAAAAAUAUAGACACUAAUUUGGUUAAUUUUUAGUGGAAAUCUGUAGUCAAAAGAAAAAAAAAAUCAUUCUAAAGUGAGGAAAACAUUAGGUUUUCAGGAAUUACCAAAACGAGCAAAAUCAAUACCAUAGCAUAAAUCUAGUGUAAGGCAACUUAACUAUGGUAAGUAUACAGUGUUAGUAUGAAUAUCUGAAAGUAACUCAGUAUGAUGAAAACACAAGAGGAAACACCAACUAAGAGAGUACAUCAGGAAGUCAUGCAUUGUGGAGAAUACCGAGUGUGGUUCAUAGUAUUAGAAGAGAAAAGGAAAAUACAGGUAAUUUUUUUACUUUCGGUAUACAGGAUGUUUCACCACACGCUAAGAAUUUAUGUAGACUGCACCACAGAAACUCUUAACUGUUACCCGGAGUGCAACACUAACUAAUUUUUGUGAUGAGGAAGGUGUAACACUGUAUCACAAGAGAAAGUACAGUGAUGACUGAGCAGAGUAGCUAAGUCCUAGGCUACAGCAAGAGAGGACCUACUCAAAUGCAACAGCCAUAAGCACAGAAAUAAAGGAAAGAACCUGCUUACCUUCAGAAGAUCUCAGGAAGACAGUGAUCUCCAGCAAGAAACCCUCACCUCCACUGCCAACCCUUAAAUGAGGUCUGGGAAGGGAUCUUGGUUCCAGCCCUUCCAGUCAUUCAGGUGCACUGUAUGCACCUGAGCUCCCCUGCAUUGGCCCUGCCUUCCCACCAUGUGCUCAAUCACUGGUUCAAGCCGUGACUUAGCAUUUCUGCUAUAGAAGGGAAGUCUUAUAACAGAAUCUGAGUGCUGAAAUAGUACUGUGAUUUUUUUGUUUCUGAUUUCUUAAAAAAGAACUCUGGGAAAAACAAUGCUGUAUUUGUCCUUAGAGUAUCAACUUUGUGUUCUUACAAGGCUCUUCCAAGCACAGAAAACGAUUACUACAGUAGCCAGUCUUAAUUAUUGGCACUUAAUUAUUGGCACAUUGCAAACCUCACAGAGAUAUUCAGUUUACACUGAAUGCAAAGAAAAAAUGUAGUGAAUCAAAAGAAAGCACUUUAAAAUAAAGCAGAAAAAUCCUUUUGGAUCACCUUCCUAACAUUUCCCUUAUCCAAAAGGAAGUACCUCCUGUGUUGGUAUUUCAAAUAUAUAUAUAUAUAUAUAUAUAUAUUUGCAACAAAAGGAUUUUUGAAAGGUGUUACUGUCAAAUGCCUAUUAAACUAAGUGUUACAUCCAUUCUACAAACAUGUAAAAAAUGUUAUUUGUGUUUAUUUUUAUUUUUCUCUAGAGCUAAAAAUAUCUACAGAAGUUAGCCUGGACUUUGCAGACAGUUUCUAUUGGGAUCGUGACUUCAUUCGCUGUUUGUCCAAAAAAAUGUCAGCAAAAUCUGGUCUUUAGCAUUCUGAAAAGUGGUUGCAUGUCCUCUAUCAGCAAAGCCUCACAUCUCAUAAUCUCAUUAAUUAAAUGACAAA